UACGUAGGAGACGAGCGUUGUCCGGAAUUACUGGGCGUAAAGCGCGUGUAGGCGGACAGGCAAGUCUGCUGUGAAAGCUCCUGGCUUAACCGGGAGUGGUCGGUGGAAACUGCCCGUCUGGAGGACGGUAGAGGUAGGUAGAAUUCCCGGUGUAGUGGUGAAAUGCGUAGAGAUCGGGAGGAAUACCUGUGGCGAAGGCGGGUCUCUGGGCCGGAACUGACGCUAAGGAGCGAAAGCGUGGGGAGCGAACAGG
rnacentral:rRNA from 1 species